CCAAGGAGUCUAACAUGUGCGCGAGUCAAUGGGAUUGCUUUUGCUAAACCCACGGGCGCAAUGAAAGUGAAGUGCUUGUAACAGAGUACGAGAGCGGGAUCCGUCGGGAGCUUGGUCGCAAGGCCUCGCCCCGCGGCGCACCGCCGGCCCGUCUCGACCGCUACGACGGUGAGGCGGAGCAAGAGCGUACACGUUGGGACCCGAAAGAUGGUGAACUAUGCCUGGGCAGGACGAAGCCAGAGGAAACUCUGGUGGAGGUCCGUAGCGAUUCUGACGUGCAAAUCGAUCGUCGGACCUGGGUAUAGGGGCGAAAGACUAAUCGAACCGUCUA
rnacentral:rRNA from 1 species